CGUAGGUGGCAAGCGUUGUCCGGAAUUAUUGGGCGUAAAGCGCGCGCAGGCGGGAAUCUAAGUCUGUCUUAAAAGUGCGGGGCUCAACCCCGUGAUGGGAUAGAAACUGGGUUUCUUGAGUGCAGGAGAGGACAGUGGAAUUCCCAGUGUAGCGGUGAAAUGCGUAGAUAUUGGGAGGAACACCAGUGGCGAAGGCGACUGUCUGGACUGUGUCUGACGCUGAGGCGCGAAAGCCAGGGUAGUGAACGGGAUUAGAUACCCCGGUAAUCCUGGCCGUAAACGAUGGGUACUAGGUGUUGGGGGUAUCGACCCCUCCAGUGCCGGAGUUAACGCAAUAAGUACCCGCCUGGGGAGUACGGCCGCAAGGUUG
rnacentral:rRNA from 1 species